UAAGAUCUUGAGUGUAUUUAUUUAUUUUUAUUUUUACUUAUUUUUUAAUUGUACAUGUGUCUGUCUAGACAGAGUUGGGCAUAGUGACUUGGAACAAAAGCCGAUGUGGUGUGGGAUGCUUUUGUGUGAGCUGGCUCUUCCCAUUCAAGAUGUGAACCCACCAAAUCCUUCUGAACUUUCCAGCUGAUGCUAAAACAUCCACGUUCCUUCCCUUUCAGGAACAGUAAGCUGAAUUUGCAGUGUAUACAGGGCUGAAAACUGGCAAAAAGACUCUUCUUAUGCUUUUCUCUCUUCAGUUUUGAGGACUGUUCAAAAAUCUGCCGAGACUUAGCAGCUUUUGUGUACAUCAGUUACCCUUCCAGCACGUUGUGCCUGGUAUUUAGUGCUUCAGUAACGUAGUUGGAAGGGAUGGUUGAGGGGGAUUGAUUCCCAGGACCACCACCUUUGGCCUGCCAGGUUAUUUGGAUAAAUUACCUCAGCGCCCUGUAUAACUCAGGCCAGACGUGGGCACUGGGAGCCAGGAUUCCUGUAAAAGCCCCAGGCAUGACCUGGAGCUCACUGAAGUCAACGGGAACCUUUCCAUUAGGCUGCAAAUCCUGAAAGGGGCAGCACAUUUUAUUGGGUUUAGCUCCAGAGCUUUCAGGUUUUACUGCUCACAGCUCUCCUUCCAAGCUCAGUGUGUGUCUACUCCUUGCAGUUCAUGUCGUCUUGCAUUCGUGCUGUGGUUUAGGAUAACAGACCAAGCUGAAUAAACCGCAGCAGCUGAGGAAUUGGGAGGCUUUGCCUCUUGCUGCUAGAAGGGCAGAAACCUCUGAUAUGUGAGCAUCACAUGCUAAAGAUUAUGAAAAGCCAUACACCUCUAUGCAGAUACUUACAAAAUGUAUUUUCUGUGCUUGUGUAUACUUAACUCCUCUUUAAUUUAUUCUCUUUAGACUUCCAGAGGGUUGCCACCCAGAAUAAUGUUGGUUCAGUUGUGACGAAUGCAUCUUCCCCCUGCUCUGCUCAGGGAAGCUUGCUUCUUGAAACCACCGUUGGGCUUUCCAAAUUGCAGUUCUUCAGCAACACCAGCCAGUUUCCUUGCUUUCCUCUGGACAGAGGUGCACCGCAGUGCUCGGAAAGCUGGUAAAAAGGUUAUUCAAGUCCUUAAGAAGAAUUACUACGUCUUCCGUUGACCUGAUAAUUGGUAUAUGGUUGCUGGGGGUAACUGUGCUGGCUGCCAUUCAGGCUCAUGAAGUCGGUGCCCCUGUGAACCUACAUGGCACGCAGGUAUGUACGGAGCAGAGAGGAGACAGCAGGUAUGAGCUAGUAUUGUUUUCUAGCAAGGGUCAAAACACUAAAUAAAAAUAUAAUAAUAGAAGCA
rnacentral:lncRNA from 1 species